CAAAGGGAGAUCAUGCCAACGGAAGUACCCACAGUCCCCAUUUACCUGACAAACAAUUUGAAGUUAAACAUAAAAAUUAGACACUAUGAUAGAAAAUUUUUGAAAAUGAUUGCUGUACCUCAUACAUCCCGCAUCCAAAGAAAUGCCGGCCAGGAUUUGUGGUGGUCCAAGAGGUCCUCAGUGGCGAUCUGGUUCCGUAAUGACAAAAAUCAAUACUUCGAGAGG
rnacentral:lncRNA from 1 species